AUGAAUCAUCUGGAGGGAUCCAUAGUAGAAGGUUAUUUAGGUCAAGAGUGUAUGAAUUUUUGUAUCGUAUACUUAAACAAGCUCGAGACAUGUCAUAAUCGGCCAAUGAGGAAUCAAGAUGAUCAGUAUGAGCCGAUUGAGUCUGCAUUUGAGUCUAUUCUACAGUCAGGUGAACUUUUUACUACAUACCACCUUACUAAUUUGAGCCUUG
rnacentral:lncRNA from 1 species